GGGGUCGUAGCUCAGAUGGUAGAGCGCUCGCUUAGCAAGCGAGAGGUACGGGGAUCAAUGCCCCGCGCCUCCA
rnacentral:tRNA from 1 species